AUUGAACGCUGGCGGCAGGCUUAACACAUGCAAGUCGAGCGGAGAUGAGGUGCUUGCACCUUAUCUUAGCGGCGGACGGGUGAGUAAUGCUUAGGAUUAUGCCUAUUAGUGGGGGACAACAUUCCGAAAGGAAUGCUAAUACCGCAUACGUCCUACGGGAGAAAGCAGGGGAUCUUCGGACCUUGCGCUACUGGAUGAGCCUCAGUCGGAUUAGCUAGAUGGUGGGGUAAAGGCCUACCAAGGCGACGAUCUGUAGGGGGUCUGAGAGGAUGGUCCGCCACACUGGGACUGAGACACGGACCAGAAUCCUACGGGAGGCAGCAGUGGGGAAUAUUGGACAUUGGGGGAAACCCUGAUCCAGCCAUGCCGCGUGUGUGAAGAAGGCCUUAUGGUUGUAAAGCACUUUAAGCGAGGAGGAGACUACUGAGACUAAUACUCUUGGAUAGUGGACGUUACUCGCAGAAUAAGCACCGGCUAACUCUGUGCCAGCAGCCGCAGUAACAC
rnacentral:rRNA from 1 species